rnacentral:rRNA from 1 species
AUACGUAGGUGACAAGCGUUAUCCGGAUUUACUGGGCGUAAAGGGCGUGUAGGCGGUCUUGCAAGUCAGAAGUGAAAUUCCUGAGCUCAACUCGGGCGCUGCUUCUGAAACUGCAGGGCUUGAGUGCUGGAGGGGAUAGCGGAAUUCCCCGUGUAGCGGUGGAAUGCGUAGAGAUUGGGAAGAACACCGGUGGCGAAGGCGGCCGGCUGGGCCGGAUCCGACGCUGAGGCGCGAAAGCGUGGGGAGCAAACAGGAUUAGAUACCCUGGUGGUCCACGCCGUAAACGAUGGGUGCUAGGUGCCGGGGGGAGCGACCCCUUCGGUGCCGCAGCUAACGCGUUAAGCACCCCGCCUGGGGAGUACGGCCGCAAGGCUGAAACUCAAAGGAAUUGACGG